rnacentral:lncRNA from 1 species
GCUCCUUCUUUCGCGCCAAAAUAUUUGGCAGAGUUAAAGUUCUUGAUUACUCUGUGAUAUGUAACCAAAUUAUAGCGCCACCUGGAGGAUAGAACUUCUUUGUGUCGCGGAUCACUACAAUUCCGGCCAACAAUUUAAGAAGAAUUUCUCCGUAGUGCAUACGAGGUUAUUGUACUGCGUAGCGAGAAUGGCCGAGUAGUUACGAUUGCCAUUU